rnacentral:rRNA from 1 species
UAACUUAGCGUAAGCCUCGCCGGAGGACGUUUUCCUUAAUCAAAAUUAAAGUUUGGGGGUCGAUCACGUUCAGAUACAGUCGUAGUCUUAACCAUAACCGACCCCGAGCCAGGGAAGUCGUAGACUUCAAAAAAACAUCGCCAUGGUCGCGGUCGUCCUUGGCCCUUUUGAUCGGGCACAGAGGCGCGAGGGCGGUUUAGCCCGAUGGCACCGGUGAAUGACUCCCCUAGCAGCUUGUGAGAAAUCAUAAGUCUUUGGGUUCCGGGGGGAGUAUGGUCGCAAGGCUGAAACUUAAAGGAAUUGACGGAAGGGCACCACCAGGAGUGGAGCCUGCGGCUUAAUUUGACUCAACACGGGGAAACUUACCAGGUCCGGACAUAGUAAGGAUGACAGAUGAUAGCUCUGUCUGAUUCUAUGGGUGGUUUUUCAUGGCCGGAGAGUUGGUGGAGUGAUAUCUGUAUCACGG